ensembl:snRNA U6 U6 spliceosomal RNA
GCGCUCACUUCGGCAGCACAUACACUAAAACUGGAGAUACAGAGAAGAUUAGCAUGGACCCCGAGCAAGGAUGACACCCAAAUUCGUGAAGCGUUCCAUAUUUUU